UACGUAGGGGGCGAGCGUUAUCCGGAAUUAUUGGGCGUAAAGAGUGCGUAGGUGGUUUUUUAAGCGUGUGGUGAAAGGCAAUAGCUUAACUAUUGUAAGCCGCGCGAACUGGAAGACUUGAGUGCAGGAGAGGAAAGCGGAAUUCCUAGUGUAGCGGUGAAAUGCGUAGAUAUUAGGAGGAACACCAGUGGCGAAGGCGGCUUUCUGGACUGUAACUGACACUGAGGCACGAAAGCGUGGGGAGCAAACAGGAUUAGAUACCCUGGUAGUCCACGCCGUAAACGAUGAGCACUAGGUGUCGGGGUCGCAAGGCUUCGGUGCCGCAGUUAACGCAUUAAGUGCUCCGCCUGGGGAGUACGCACGCAAGUGUGAA
rnacentral:rRNA from 1 species